AACGAACGCUGGCGGCAUGCCUAACACAUGCCAGUCGAACGAGACCUUCGGGUCUAGUGGCGCACGGGUGCGUAACGCGUGGGAACCUGCCCUUAGGUUCGGAAUAACUCCCCGAAAGGGGUGCUAAUACCGGAUAAUGUCUUCGGACCAAAGAUUUAUCGCCUUUGGAUGGGCCCGCGUUGGAUUAGCUAGUUGGUAGGGUAAAAGCCUACCAAGGCGACGAUCCAUAGCUGGUCUGAGAGGAUGAUCAGCCACACUGGGACUGAGACACGGCCCAGACUCCUACGGGAGGCAGCAGUGGGGAAUAUUGGACAAUGGGCGAAAGCCUGAUCCAGCAAUGCCGCGUGAGUGAUGAAGGCCUUAGGGUUGUAAAGCUCUUUUACCCGGGAUGAAAAUGACAGUACCGGGAGAAUAAGCUCCGGCUAACUCCGUG
rnacentral:rRNA from 1 species